rnacentral:rRNA from 1 species
CGAACGCUGGCGGCAGGCCUAACACAUGCAAGUCGAGCGAGGUAGCGAUACCUAGCGGCGGACGGGUGAGUAACGCGUGGGAACGUGCCCCUUGGUACGGAAUAGCCCCGGGAAACUGGGAGUAAUACCGUAUGAGCUCUACGGAGGAAAGAUUUAUCGCCAAGGGAUCGGCCCGCGUUGGAUUAGGUAGUUGGUGGGGUAAUGGCCUACCAAGCCGACGAUCCAUAGCUGGUUUGAGAGGAUGAUCAGCCACACUGGGACUGAGACACGGCCCAGACUCCUACGGGAGGCAGCAGUGGGGAAUCUUAGACAAUGGGCGCAAGCCUGAUCUAGCCAUGCCGCGUGAGCGAUGAAGGCCUUAGGGUUGUAAAGCUCUUUCAGCUGGGAAGAUAAUGACUGUACCAGCAGAAGAAGCCCCGGCUAACUCCGUGCCAGCAG